rnacentral:RNase_P_RNA from 1 species
CCAGAGGGUCGGGCGGCCGCCGGCACGUUCGCGUGCGGGAGGAAAGUCCGGGCUCCACGGAAACGACGGUGCCGGGUAACGCCCGGCGGGGCAGGGGGCGACCGCUGCCUCAGGGACAGUGCAACAGAGAGAAGACUGCGACGGCUUCGGCCACGCGAGCGUGAAAGGGUGCGGCAAGAGCGCACCGCGCCGGCGGCAACGUCGGUGGCACGGUAAACCCCACCGGGAGCAAGACCGAAUAGGGGCGGCAUGGGUCUUCAAGGGCCCGGGGCAUGUUCCGGCCCGCCGCCCGGGUUGGUUGCUUGAGGCGACGCGCGAGCGUCGUCCUAGAGGAAUGGUCGCCCAGUCCCUUCGGGGGCGGACAGAACCCGGCUUACAGACCCUCUGGCACG